GGGCCGGGUCUACAAGGUGAUACUUUUCCAGGCCUUAGACGUCUGCGCUUGCUGUUUGCCACUUCAUCAAGAUUUCUGCUCAUUUCAAUGAUGAAUCUGUCAAAUGUACCUAGAUGUCUGUGUUUGCAGUUUACAUGUUUCUUUUUUUUUUUNUUUGCUUCCUGGAUUGUAGUGAAAGAGUUUACAGAGAGGCUGUGUGGAUUGAAUAAAGCGA
rnacentral:misc_RNA from 1 species